GUAUGAUAAUGUUGGUUGCUUGCGAACAAAUAUGUCAAGAUGGUGUCAAGCCUAAACAAUAAUACAAUGGUAUCAAGCUUGAUUGCUGUUACCAAAAUAGAUUAGAAGAUUGCAUUUUGCCAGCCAGGUGUAUUUGUGCCAUUAUCUGAAUAUCUUCAUCAGUGCUGUUAUCAAACAAUAUUAGAAGAUUGCAUUUUGUCAGUAGGUGUAUUUGUGC